rnacentral:rRNA from 1 species
UACGUAGGGUGCGAGCGUUAAUCGGAAUUACUGGGCGUAAAGCGUGCGCAGGCGGUUCGUUAUGUCCGAUGUGAAAGCCCCGAGCUCAACUUGGGAAUGGCAUUGGAAACUGGCGGGCUGGAGUGUGGCAGAGGGGGGUGGAAUUCCACGUGUAGCAGUGAAAUGCGUAGAGAUCGGGAGGAACAUCAGUUGCGAAGGCGGCCACCUGGACCAGCACUGACACUGAGGCACGAAAGCGUGGGUAGCAAACAGG